AUACUCGGUUUCUCUUCAUUACGCACAAGCCUUUCGCCUUUACUAAAGACUCCGUGGAGAGGAACACUACGAGUUCAACGUAUUUUGGAGCGGCUUGCUUCUUGCAGAGCCC
rnacentral:snRNA from 1 species